rnacentral:lncRNA from 1 species
AAUAAAAUAAAAUAAAAAAUAAAAUAAAAUAAAAUAGCAAAAGAAAAAAAAGAAAAAAAAACAGGAAAAAACCCAAAUCAAAUGAAACGAAAUAAAAUAAAUUAAAAUGGAAUAAAAUAAAAAUAAAAUAAAAAUUUUUAAAACCCAAAAGGAAAUAAAAUGGAAUGAAAUAAAAGAAAAAAAUUAACAAAAUACAGAAGAAGGAAUAACAAAAAAUUCAGGAGAGGACAGCGGGGCGGCUGUCAAGUUCUUCCCCCUCUUCUCUCCGGAGCCUCGACGACGGGAGGGGAAAAACGAUGUCCCCCCCCAAAAUAAUCCAAACCACCCCCGAGAAAUAAUAAUAACAAUAAUACUAAAGACCCCCCCAAAUCGCCCUCCGGCGCCUGCGGAGCGGCCCGGGAGCCGCCGGAGCGGCGGCCGCGCUGCUGGCGGGCUCUGCGGCAGCGGGCGCGGCGGGAGGGGUGCAUGAACCCCCCCCUGCAGCCGGCAGCCCCGGUGCCUCGCUGUGCUCCGCCGCCGCCGCGUCGCCACUCUCAUGCUGUCCCCAUCGCCAGCUUUGUCCCCCGCCUUAGUAAUUCGCGCAUCCUUAUUCAGAUUUGGUGACGUCGCGGGCCGCGUCACCCGGGAUGCGGCCAAUGGGAGGGCAGUAACCAUGGCAACCUCUUAAUUUAUAGCAUAUCUAAAUUGGCUCCAGCCUUGUGCUUGGCACAGAGGGAAAAAAACAACGCGCCUCUAUUGUUGAGGGUGGCUUGUACCUGGGCCGCGAAGGUAAUGCGUAGAGAAGCAGUGUCGCUUAUACAAGAUGUUGGAGGAAUUUACUAUAUUAUUAAAGGCAAAAAAAAAAAUCCCCUUUCAAGAAUAAAGUGUAUCAACUUACAACACAACAGACGGCAGAGGGAUAAGUGAAACAGACAAAAGACAAACAAGAUAAUAAUCUGUUUCCAAUCAGUUAAGCCCUGUAGAAUGUUGUAAUACGCGGUUUGCAUAUUCCCCCCGUGUUUUUGUAAUUAAUUAUCUAUCUGUCGGAUGCACCGCCGCCGACUUUGUGGAUAUUUCCAAGUAUUUUGGGGGUUGUAGGCGGUGAUCACGCCGGG